rnacentral:rRNA from 1 species
GACAGAGGGUGCAAACGUUGUUCGGAAUUACUGGGCGUAAAGCGCGUGUAGGCGGCCCUGCAAGUCGGAUGUGAAAUCCCACGGCUCAGCCGUGGAAGUGCAUUCGAAACUGCAGGGCUAGAGUCCUGGAGAGGAAGGUGGAAUGCUUGGUGUAGAGGUGAAAUUCGUAGAUAUCAAGCGGAACACCGGUGGCGAAGGCGGCCUUCUGGACAGUGACUGACGCUGAGGUGCGAAAGCGUGGGGAGCAAAGCAGG